rnacentral:rRNA from 1 species
AAACCCAGUGUGAUUCGUCACACUAUCAUUAACUGAAUCCAUAGGUUAAUGAGGCGAACCGGGGGAACUGAAACAUCUAAGUAUCCCGAGGAAAAGAAAUCAACCGAGAUUCCCCCAGUAGCGGCGAGCGAACGGGGAGGAGCCCAGAGCCUGAAUCAGCAUGUGUGUUAGUGGAAGCGUCUGGAAAGGCGCGCGAUACAGGGUGACAGCCCCGUACACAAAAGCGCAUGUGCUGUGAGCUCGAUGAGUAGGGCGGGACACGUGGUAUCCUGUCUGAAUAUGGGGGGACCAUCCUCCAAGGCUAAAUACUCCUGACUGACCGAUAGUGAACCAGUACCGUGAGGGAAAGGCGAAAAGAACCCCGGCGAGGGGAGUGAAAAAGAACCUGAAACCGUGUACGUACAAGCAGUGGGAGCCCCACCACCAAAGCAUUCUCUGGUGUUGAAGGCCCUGCAAAGCAGCAUCGCGGUGGCGG